AGUCGAACGGGAAAGCCCGCAAGGGUGAGUACAGUGGCGCACGGGUGCGUAACACGUGGGUAAUCUGCCCUGGAGCCCGGAAUAACUCCCCGAAAGGGGUGCUAAUGCCGGAUAAGACCACGGGGACCUCGGUCCCUGCGGGAAAAGGUGGCCUCUGUAUACAAGCUAUCUCUUCAGGAUGAGCCCGCGGCCCAUCAGCUAGUUGGCGGGGUAACGGCCCACCAAGGCUACGACGGGUAGCUGGUCUGAGAGGACGAUCAGCCACACUGGAACUGAGACACGGUCCAGACUCCUACGGGAGGCAGCAGUGGGGAAUCUUGCGCAAUGGGCGAAAGCCUGACGCAGCAACGCCGCGUGUGUGGUGAAGGUCUUCGGAUCGUAAAGCACUGUCGGGAGGGACGAAUAAGGGCCGGGUGAACAAUCCGGUCUGACGACGGUACCUCCAAAGGAAGCACCGGCUAACUCUGUGCCAGCAGCCGCGGUAAUACAGAGGGUGCUAGCGUUGUUCGGAAUUAUUGGGCGUAAAGCGCGUGUAGGCGGCCGAUCAAGUCGGAUGUGAAAGCCCUCGGCUUAACCGAGGAAGUGCGUUCGAUACUAGUUGGCUUGAGUACCGGAGAGGGUGGUGGAAUUCCCGGUGUAGAGGUGAAAUUCGUAGAUAUCGGGAGGAACACCAGCGGCGAAGGCGACCACCUGG
rnacentral:rRNA from 1 species